rnacentral:lncRNA from 1 species
GCGUGAAGAUGCUGCAGUUGACGAUGAGCACGUCGAUCUCCUCGGGCUUGACCGUGGUCCUGGCGAACACGUCGUCGACGGCGGAGAAGAUGACCAGCUCGGUCUCGUCGCGGGAGGCCUCGAGGCUGCGGUUGGGCGGCAUGUAGUGGUACGCCUCCGGCACGCACGUCUCCUCGCCGAGCCCGGAGCGCUCGAGCAGCCGGAUGGCGAAGCUGACGCUUUCGUCGUCGAUUAGGUACGGCAUCAGGUUGGCGUGCUCCAGGCACGUGGCGAACGGCGCCCGGAACCACGGCUUGGGCCGGAAGCAGCCGUACUCGACGAGGUACACGUCCUUGGGCCGGCCCAUGCGCCUCAGCUUGGCGGCGGCGGCGGCCGCGAGCAGCG